GUAUGAGACCAAGUAGCAUCUCCUAGCAACACCUCCAUUGUCUUGUCAGCCGUUAUCCAAUAUUUAGGAUCGCCAGUAAGAUAGGAUAAAUAACGUAGCUCCAUCUGAACAGUUCCGGAUUCAGCAGUGCUUACGAAAUACUCUCUAGUUCUUUUUCUAGAUUUACGAGUUCCUAGGUUUACAUUUGAUCUAGGUAAGCCCGUGGAGGUAUUAUAAGCAGCUAGCAAACGAUCAGCUAGGUCCACUGCGCGGUCUAGGUAUAGUUUGUCUUGAGACAAGUGAUAAGAAGAAAGGAGUCCUCCCAAUAUACGAAUAGUAGUUUCAAAAACACUAACUUCUUCGUCAUCUUGGUUCCAAGUAAGAGAAUUAUUAACCCAUUCACGAGCACGUAAAACUUGUUCAUCAAGGCCCAUAAUCAUCAUUGUAUCAAGGGAAUCAAUAAUCAUCCAGCCCAUGCCCUUCCUAAGGUAAUUCCGUCCACGUUUAAUAAUAGGAUAGUAUUCAUCUUUACCCCAGCCAUAAGUUUCAUAGUCUGUCCAGCUUUCUAUGAAUGUUUUCUUAAUCAGCGCUUUUCUUCUCGUGGAGCCUUUAAGUUUGGUAUAACCAGGAGGUCGUUGGACAGUCGUGUAUAAAUAAUAUAUUGGAACGCAUA